rnacentral:rRNA from 1 species
UACGUAGGUGGCAAGCGUUGUCCGGAUUUACUGGGCGUAAAGAGCGCGCAGGCGGUCGUUCAAGUCGCGUGUGAAAGCCCCCGGCUCAACUGGGGAGGGUCACGCGAUACUGAUCGACUCGAAGGCAGGAGAGGGUAGUGGAAUUCCCGGUGUAGUGGUGAAAUGCGUAGAUAAUCGGGAGGAACACCAGUGGCGAAGGCGACUACCUGGCCUGUUCUUGACGCUGAGGCGCGAAAGCUAGGGGAGCAAACGGG